rnacentral:rRNA from 1 species
ACUCGAAGAGUAGGGCGGGACACGUGGUAUCCUGUCUGAAUAUGGGGGGACCAUCCUCCAAGGCUAAAUACUCCUGACUGACCGAUAGUGAACCAGUACCGUGAGGGAAAGGCGAAAAGAACCCCGGCGAGGGGAGUGAAAAAGAACCUGAAACCGUGUACGUACAAGCAGUGGGAGCCUCUUUAUGGGGUGACUGCGUACCUUUUGUAUAAUGGGUCAGCGACUUAUAUUCUGUAGCAAGGUUAACCGUAUAGGGGAGCCGAAGGGAAACCGAGUCUUAACUGGGCGUUAAGUUGCAGGGUAUAGACCCGAAACCCGGUGAUCUAGCCAUGGGCAGGUUGAAGGUUGGGUAACACUAACUGGAGGACCGAACCGACUAAUGUUGAAAAAUUAGCGGAUGACCUGUGGCUGGGGGUGAAAGGCCAAUCAAACCGGGAGAUAGCUGGUUCUCCCCGAAAGCUAUUUAGGUAGCGCCUCGUGAACUCAUCUUCGGGGGUAGAGCACUGUUUCGGCUAGGGGGCCAUCCCGGCUUACCAACCCGAUGCAAACUACGAAUACCGAAGAAUGUUAUCACGGGAGACACACGGCGGGUGCUAACGUCCGUCGUGAAGAGGGAAACAACCCAGACCGCCAGCUAAGGUCCCAAAGUCAUGGUUAAGUGGGAAACGAUGUGGGAAGGCACAGACAGCCAGGAUGUUGGCUUAGAAGCAGCCAUCAUUUAAAGAAAGCGUAAUAGCUCACUGGUCGAGUCGGCCUGCGCGGAAGAUGUAACGGGGCUAAACCAUGCACCGAAGCUGCGGCAGCGACACUAUGUGUUGUUGGGUAGGGGAGCGUUCUGUAAGCCGUUGAAGGUGUGCUGUGAGGCAUGCUGGAGGUAUCAGAAGUGCGAAUGCUGACAUAAGUAACGAUAAAGCGGGUGAAAAGCCCGCUCGCCGGAAGACCAAGGGUUCCUGUCCAACGUUAAUCGGGGCAGGGUGAGUCGACCCCUAAGGCGAGGCCGAAAGGCGUAGUCGAUGGGAAACAGGUUAAUAUUCCUGUACUUGGUGUUACUGCGAAGGGGGGACGGAGAAGGCUAUGUCAGCCGGGCGACGGUUGUCCCGGUUUAAGCAUGUAGGCGGAGGUUCCAGGUAAAUCCGGUACCUUAUUAACGCUGAGGUGUGAUGACGAGGCACUACGGUGCUGAAGUGAUAAAUGCCCUGCUUCCAGGAAAAGCCUCUAAGCAUCAGGUAACACGAAAUCGUACCCCAAACCGACACAGGUGGUCAGGUAGAGAAUACCAAGGCGCUUGAGAGAACUCGGGUGAAGGAACUAGGCAAAAUGGUGCCGUAACUUCGGGAGAAGGCACGCUGAUAUGUAGGUGAAGCCCCUGCGGGCGGAGCUGAAAUCAGUCGAAGAUACCAGCUGGCUGCAACUGUUUAUUAAAAACACAGCACUGUGCAAACACGAAAGUGGACGUAUACGGUGUGACGCCUGCCCGGUGCCGGAAGGUUAAUUGAUGGGGUUAGCGGCAACGCGAAGCUCUUGAUCGAAGCCCCGGUAAACGGCGGCCGUAACUAUAACGGUCCUAAGGUAGCGAAAUUCCUUGUCGGGUAAGUUCCGACCUGCACGAAUGGCGUAAUGAUGGCCAGGCUGUCUCCACCCGAGACUCAGUGAAAUUGAACUCGCUGUGAAGAUGCAGUGUACCCGCGGCAAGACGGAAAGACCCCGUGAACCUUUACUAUAGCUUGACACUGAACACUGGUCCUUGAUGUGUAGGAUAGGUGGGAGGCUUUGAAGCGUGGACGCCAGUCUGCGUGGAGCCGUCCUUGAAAUACCACCCUUUAAUGGCUGGUGUUCUAACGUAGACCCGUGAUCCGGGUUGCGGACAGUGUCUGGUGGGUAGUUUGACUGGGGCGGUCUCCUCCCAAAGAGUAACGGAGGAGCACGAAGGUUGGCUAAUCCUGGUCGGACAUCAGGAGGUUAGUGCAAUGGCAUAAGCCAGCUUGACUGCGAGCGUGACGGCGCGAGCAGGUGCGAAAGCAGGUCAUAGUGAUCCGGUGGUUCUGAAUGGAAGGGCCAUCGCUCAACGGAUAAAAGGUACUCCGGGGAUAACAGGCUGAUACCGCCCAAGAGUUCAUAUCGACGGCGGUGUUUGGCACCUCGAUGUCGGCUCAUCACAUCCUGGGGCUGAAGUAGGUCCCAAGGGUAUGGCUGUUCGCCAUUUAAAGUGGUACGCGAGCUGGGUUUAGAACGUCGUGAGACAGUUCGGUCCCUAUCUGCCGUGGGCGCUGGAGAAUUGAGGGGGGCUGCUCCUAGUACGAGAGGACCGGAGUGGACGCAUCACUGGUGUUCGGGUUGUCAUGCCAAUGGCACUGCCCGGUAGCUAAAUGCGGAAGAGAUAAGUGCUGAAAGCAUCUAAGCACGAAACUUGCCCCGAGAUGAGUUCU